GACAGAGGUGCCGAGCGUUAGGCGGAAUCACUGGGCUUAAAGCGUGUGUAGGCGGGUCGUUAAGUGCCUUGUGAAAUCCCACGGCUCAACCGUGGAACUGCUGGGCAUACUGCCGAUCUUGAGCCAGCUAGGGGCAACCGGAACAAACGGUGGAGCGGUGAAAUGCGUAGAUAUCGGGAGGAACACCAAUGGCGAAGGCAGCUCGCUGGGACGGUACUGACGCUGAGACGCGAAAGCGUGGGGAGCAAACAGG
rnacentral:rRNA from 1 species